AGGGGUGUUUAGUAGUGCAAUAUCUGCAUAUUUUUGGUUCUUGAUUUCUCUUUGAUGAGCGAUCGAGAUUGAGAAAGAGAGAGGAUUUGAUGAAUCAUGGGAGGGAGAUGAAAGAAGGAAAGGCGGCGCAGGGAAUGAAGCUCGAUCCGAAAUCAUUGUCUCUACUAACGUGCCUUGCUGCAUGAGAGAAAUGGAAAGUUUGAUCCAAGAUCUUAUCUUUCUACUUCUUAUAAUUUGUUAAUUAUUAUUACAAUCAUUAAUUACGAUUACAACUAUAUAUAAAAAAUAGUGUGUUUCUGUGUGUGUAUUUAUAUAUGGCUCUGAUGCAUGGGAAGGGACUGAUUUCGGACCAGGCUUCAUUCUCACGCCCAGCUUUUCCUAUAUAUAAACAAGCAAGCAGCAACUAUGAAAGAGAAAAUAAAAUAGACGGGAGGAAGGGCUCAUUUAAUGAAGAAAAGGAUGGGCUGGACAAGAGGCCCAGUUAUUGACUCGUCGAUGCCAAAUGAGGCAAUCUGGGGAAUUCUGGAAUGGUUAAUAACGAGGUAACAGGCACAUUCAACAAUUCUGCUCGGCUCAUUUGGAGAAUUGGCUUCAAAAAUGUUAUUGUUGAGACUGAUUCUAAAGCCUUGCUGGAAAAUUUUGAAGAACAUAGAUCAUCUGAGGAAUGGUAGUCCAAUCUUCAUUCAGAUUUUAAAGAGAACGUUGAAUGUUUUCGCAGCAGAACAGUGUUUUACUGCAUGUUAUUUUUCAUGGAAGAUAAAUGGAGAGAAAUUUUAGUGGAUUUUAAAAAGACA